UACAGAGGUCUCAAGCGUUGUCCGGAUUCAUUGGGCGUAAAGGGUGCGUAGGCGGCGCGGUAAGUCGGGUGUGAAAUCUCGGAGCUUAACUCCGAAACUGCAUUCGAUACUGCCGUGCUUGAGGACUGGAGAGGAGAUUGGAAUUCACGGUGUAGCAGUGAAAUGCGUAGAUAUCGUGAGGAAGACCAGUGGCGAAGGCGGAUCUCUGGACAGUUCCUGACGCUGAGGCGCGAAGGCCAGGGGAGCAAACGGG
rnacentral:rRNA from 1 species